GUGCUCACUUCAGCAGCACAUAUACUAAAAUUGGAACGAUACAGAGAAGAUUAGCAUAGCCCCUUUUUAAAAAAAAUAUAUAUAUAUAUAAAUUUUGAUGGCUUUAG
rnacentral:snRNA from 1 species